rnacentral:rRNA from 1 species
UUUAAGUGAAGAGUUUGAUCCUGGCUCAGAGUGAACGCUGGCGGUAGGCCUAACACAUGCAAGUCGAACGGCAGCACAGGAGAGCUUGCUCUCUGGGUGGCGAGUGGCGGACGGGUGAGGAAUACAUCGGAAUCUACUCUGUCGUGGGGGAUAACGUAGGGAAACUUACGCUAAUACCGCAUACGACCUACG